rnacentral:rRNA from 1 species
AUUGAACGCUGGCGGCAUGCUUUACACAUGCAAGUCGAACGGUAACAGGCCGCAAGGUGCUGACGAGUGGCGAACGGGUGAGUAAUGCAUCGGAGCGUGCCCAGUCGUGGGGGAUAACGCAGCGAAAGCUGUGCUAAUACCGCAUACGAUCUAUGGAUGAAAGCGGGGGACCGUAAGGCCUCGCGCGAUUGGAGCGGCCGAUGUCAGAUUAGGUAGUUGGUGGGGUAAAGGCCUACCAAGGCAACGAUCUGUAGCUGGUCUGAGAGGAUGAUCAGCCACACUGGGACUGAGACACGGCCCAGACUCCUACGGGGGGCAGCAGUGGGGAAUUUUGGACAAUGGGGGCAACCCUGAUCCAGCCAUUCCGCGUGAGUGAAGAAGGCCUUCGGGUUGUAAAGCUCUUUCGGCAGGAACGAAACGGCGAGCUCUAACAUAGCUUGCUAAUGACGGUACCUGAAGAAGAAGCACCGGCUAACUACGUGCCAGCAGCCGCCGUAA